AACGAACGCUGGCGGCAUGCCUAACACAUGCAAGUCGAACGAGACCUUCGGGUCUAGUGGCGCACGGGUGCGUAACGCGUGGGAACCUGCCUUUAGGUUCGGAAUAACUCAGAGAAAUUUGAGCUAAUACCGGAUGAUGUCUUCGGACCAAAGAUUUAUCGCCUUUAGAUGGGCCCGCGUUGGAUUAGCUAGUUGGUGGGGUAAAGGCCUACCAAGGCGACGAUCCAUAGCUGGUCUGAGAGGAUGAUCAGCCACACUGGGACUGAGACACUGCCCAGACUCGUACGGGAGGGAGCAGUGGGGAAUAUUGGACAAUGGGCGAAAGCAUGAUAAAGCAAUGCCGCGUGAGUGAUGAAGGCCUUAGGGUUGUAAAGCUCUUUUAACCGAGAUGAUAAUGACAGUAUCGGGAGAAUAAGCUCCGGCUAACUCCGUG
rnacentral:rRNA from 1 species